rnacentral:lncRNA from 1 species
AUAUUUUGACAAUAUCUUUAGGAUCUAUCCUUUCAAUAGAAAGUUUAGAUUGAGUUUGGCUCUGUGAAGAGCUACCUUCUUUUUUGAUAUCUGGAAUAUCUUUAUUACCAGUAAUAGAUUUGAGUAUUCCCUGUAAAGGGGUUCCUAUUACUUUCUUUUCUUUCCCUUUAUCCUCGGGAAGAGCACUAGUAUUCACAAGUCCCUGCAAAGGGAUACUAGAUUUGGUACAAGUAUCUUCUGCCUCAAGGGCUAUAUUUUUGCCUCGAAGAUUAUCUUGGAUAUUUUGAAUUUGAGCUUCCAAAUAGGAAACUUUUAUUUCAAGUAUCUGGACUUUCGUCCUUAGUUGUUCUAGCUCCAUCCCUGCUAAGAUAAUCAGGAAGAAAGUUAGUUUUACCUUUUAUGUA